rnacentral:lncRNA from 1 species
UUUUCAUCAUAACUCCCACCUUACUAGAAAUGCUUUUAGGAGGUGUUGAAGGUUUUUUAAUUUCAUCAGCUUGUACCGGGACAAUUACGGCCGAAGGUCCAUUGACGGGCUGAAGAGCCGAAGGUCCAUUGACAGGCUGAACAGCCAAAGGUCCAUUGACGGGCUGAACAGCUGAAGGUCCAUUGACGGGCUGAAUAGUUGAAAAUCCAUUGACGGGCUGAACAGUCGAGAGUACAGGUGUGUCUUCAGUCUUAGCUUCAUUGUUCUGAAUAG